rnacentral:rRNA from 1 species
UACGAAGGGGGCUAGCGUUGCUCGGAAUCACUGGGCGUAAAGCGCACGUAGGCGGAUUGCUAAGUCAGGGGUGAAAUCCCGGAGCUCAACUCCGGAACUGCCUUUGAUACUGAGGAUCUUGAGUUCGAGAGAGGUGAGUGGAACUGCGAGUGUAGAGGUGAAAUUCGUAGAUAUUCGCAAGAACACCGGUGGCGAAGGCGGCAUCCUGGACCGACACUGACACUGAGGAGCGAAAGCCAGGGGAGCAAACGGG